rnacentral:rRNA from 1 species
GUACACAAAAAUGCACAUAUUGUGAGCUUGAUGAGUAGGGCGGGACACGUGGUAUCCUGUCUGAAUAUGGGGGGACCAUCCUCCAAGGCUAAAUACUCCUGACUGACCGAUAGUGAACCAGUACCGUGAGGGAAAGGCGAAAAGAACCCCGGCGAGGGGAGUGAAAAAGAACCUGAAACCGUGUACGUACAAGCAGUGGGAGCACGCUUAGGCGUGUGACUGCGUACCUUUUGUAUAAUGGGUCAGCGACUUAUAUUCUGUAGCAAGGUUAACCGAAUAGGGGAGCCGAAGGGAAACCGAGUCUUAACUGGGCGUUAAGUUGCAGGGUAUAGACCCGAAACCCGGUGAUCUAGCCAUGGGCAGGUUGAAGGUUGGGUAACACUAACUGGAGGACCGAACCGACUAAUGUUGAAAAAUUAGCGGAUGACUUGUGGCUGGGGGUGAAAGGCCAAUCAAACCGGGAGAUAGCUGGUUCUCCCCGAAAGCUAUUUAGGUAGCGCCUCGUGAAUUCAUCUCCGGGGGUAGAGCACUGUUUCGGCAAGGGGGUCAUCCCGACUUACCAACCCGAUGCAAACUGCGAAUACCGGAGAAUGUUAUCACGGGAGACACACGGCGGGUGCUAACGUCCGUCGUGAAGAGGGAAACAACCCAGACCGCCAGCUAAGGUCCCAAAGUCAUGGUUAAGUGGGAAACGAUGUGGGAAGGCCCAGACAGCCAGGAUGUUGGCUUAGAAGCAGCCAUCAUUUAAAGAAAGCGUAAUAGCUCACUGGUCGAGUCGGCCUGCGCGGAAGAUGUAACGGGGCUAAACCAU